UAGGGAAUCUUCCACAAUGGACGCAAGUCUGAUGGAGCAACGCCGCGUGAGUGAAGAAGGUUUUCGGACCGUAAAGCUCUGUUGUUGGUGAAGAAGGAUAGAGGUAGUAACUGGCCUUUAUUUGACGGUAAUCAACCAGAAAGUCACGGCUAACUACGUGCCAGCAGCCGCGGUAAUACGUAGGUGGCAAGCGUUGUCCGGAUUUAUUGGGCGUAAAGCGGGCGCAGGCGGAAGAAUAAGUCUGAUGUGAAGGCCCUCGGCUUAACCGAGGAAUUGCAUCGGAAACUGUUUUUCUUGAGUGCAGAAGAGGAGAGUAGAACUCCAUGUGUAGCGGUGGAAUGCGUAGAUAUAUGGAAGAAUACCAGUGGCGAAGGCGGCUCUCUGGUCUGCAACUGACGCUGAGGCUCGAAAGCAUGGGUAGCGAACAGGAUUAGAUACCCUGGUAGUCCAUGCCGUAAACGAUGAGUGCUAAGUGUUGGGAGGCUUCCGCCUCUCAGUGCUGCAGCUAACGCAUUAAGCACUCCGCCUGGGGGAGUACGACCGCAAGGUUGAAAC
rnacentral:rRNA from 1 species